CCUACGGGUGGCAGCAGUGGGGAAUAUUGGACAAUGGGCGAAAGCCUGAUCCAGCCAUGCCGCGUGUGUGAAGAAGGCCUUCGGGUUGUAAAGCACUUUCAGUGGGGAAGAAAGCCUUGGGGCUAAUACCCUCGAGGAAGGACAUCACCCACAGAAGAAGCACCGGCUAACUCCGUGCCAGCAGCCGCGGUAAUACGGAGGGUGCGAGCGUUAAUCGGAAUUACUGGGCGUAAAGCGCGCGUAGGCGGUCUGAUAAGCCGGUUGUGAAAGCCCCGGGCUCAACCUGGGAACGGCAUCCGGAACUGUCAGGCUAGAGUGUAGGAGAGGAAGGUAGAAUUCCCGGUGUAGCGGUGAAAUGCGUAGAGAUCGGGAGGAAUACCAGUGGCGAAGGCGGCCUUCUGGACUGACACUGACGCUGAGGUGCGAAAGCGUGGGUAGCAAACAGGAUUAGAUACCCUUGUAGUC
rnacentral:rRNA from 1 species